rnacentral:lncRNA from 1 species
AAAAAAAUCUGCUCUAAUUGAUUUGCUAAGAUCCUGUAACUAUACCAUCUUAUUAUCCACAAAGAGAAGCACUGUUAUGCUACAUCUGCCAACAUGUUCUGGAAGACCUUUUACAAGCUUCUUUUGAACAUAUUUUCUGUGCUUCCUGUAUUCAUGGAUGAUUGGUGUAUCACAUCAUCUGCCCUGAAGAUACAGACAAGCACUUAAUAUGUCAGUGCUCUGACCUUUACAGACAACUAUGGACCGGGGAAGAAAUAAUACAUGAAGAUGGUGG